GGAUCCAGACUUUGAUUAUGGCUCAGGAUGAACGCUAGCUACAGGCUUAACACAUGCAAGUCGAGGGGAAACGAUAGAGAAAGCUUGCUUUUUCUAGGCGUCGACCGGCGCACGGGUGAGUAACGCGUAUCCAACCUGCCCACCACUUGGGGAUAACCUUGCGAAAGUAAGACUAAUACCCAAUGAUAUCUCUAGAAGACAUCUGAAGGAGAUUAAAGAUUUAUCGGUGAUGGAUGGGGAUGCGUCUGAUUAGCUUGUCGGCGGGGUAACGGCCCACCGAGGCGACGAUCAGUAGGGGUUCUGAGAGGAAGGUCCCCCACAUUGGAACUGAGACACGGUCCAAACUCCUACGGGAGGCAGCAGUGAGGAAUAUUGGUCAAUGGGCGAGAGCCUGAACCAGCCAAGUAGCGUGCAGGAUGACGGCCCUAUGGGUUGUAAACUGCUUUUAUAAGGGAAUAAAGUGAGCCUCGUGAGGCUUUUUGCAUGUACCUUAUGAAUAAGGACCGGCUAAUUCCGUGCCAGCAGCCGCGGUAAUACGGAAGGUCCGGGCGUUAUCCGGAUUUAUUGGGUUUAAAGGGAGCGUAGGCCGGAGAUUAAGCGUGUUGUGAAAUGUAGAUGCUCAACAUCUGCACUGCAGCGCGAACUGGUUUCCUUGAGUACGCACAAAGUGGGCGGAAUUCGUGGUGUAGCGGUGAAGUGCUUAGAUAUCACGAAGAACUCCGAUUGCGAAGGCAGCUCACUGGAGCGCAACUGACGCUGAAGCUCGAAAGUGCGGGUAUCGAACAGGAUUAGAUACCCUGGUAGUCCGCACGGUAAACGAUGGAUGCCCGCUGUUGGUCUGAAUAGGUCAGCGGCCAAGCGAAAGCAUUAAGCAUCCCACCUGGGGAGUACG
rnacentral:rRNA from 1 species